GGAAGGAGCUAAUAAGAAGGGGAAGGCGAUGGCACUGGAAGGCAGCGAGGUCCCUGUGAGGAGAAAAUGGAAUCCCAUCGAAGGAUGCACCGGUCCUUCAACUGGAGUCUGCAAAGGGACAAGAGAAAUUUGUGGAGAUGCUAAAGAGCCAGCACAUGAUUAUCCCUGAUUUGUGCCAGAAACUCACAAAACAACAGCAAAUAUUGAUUAACCAGCAACAGCUAUUCUAGACCAGUGGAAGAAAAUGCAUGAGCAAAUGGAAGUGAUGAAGGUUCCGUAUGGCAUAUUCUUCCAUACUAGGAAGCAGAUGUCUUUCCAUAGCUUGCAGGAGUAUGACCAGCAUUCUUUUGAAACUCAUCUUCAGGGACUGCAGAAUCAUAUCAGAUAUCAUCUCCAGAGGUCAUACACUGCAGAAAGUUGAAGCUGCUGUGAAAGUAAUUAAUGUUGGGGUGGGGGGAAACUUCUUAGACUGUAGCCUUUGCAAAAGUGAUGAAUUUUGCAAUUUUUAAGAGACCAUCACAGUGUGAAAAAUGAACUUUCUGCCCUGCUGGGUUCUCCCCACUUGUCUGAAUGUUUCACAGACAUGGAUCAAUCCAUCAGGGAGCUACUAAAGAUGUCUAAAGCCCAAAUAAGAUAGGAAUUGAGGUGAAAUCUAGCACAAGACGGAAGUUUACCAAUGAUGAGAGAAUUCACAGAAACCCCUAGCUAUUCAAGGAAG